rnacentral:rRNA from 1 species
UUGAACUGAAGAGUUUGAUCAUGGCUCAGAUUGAACGCUGGCGGCAGGCCUAACACAUGCAAGUCGAGCGGUAGAGAGAAGCUUGCUUCUCUUGAGAGCGGCGGACGGGUGAGUAAUACCUAGGAAUCUGCCUGG